rnacentral:rRNA from 1 species
AUGCGUGGCAUUGACGGCCAUGGGGGAGGUGACUGCGGGCGAAAUUUGGCGCGCCCCGCGAGGCCCCGGCUGUGCUCCACCAUAGUUGCGCCGGGCGACCCUGCCGUCGCCCCUAGUGAAGGUCAGGCACGCGGGGUCUGCCACCCGCCAGCUUCGCCUGCCCGCAGCGCGAGCCUUGAGUGGACGCUGGUGCUCUCUCGGCGUGCCCAGACUCUGGCAUGGUGCCAGGAAGAUCAAUCGCGGCAGCGGGCAAGAGAUCCGGCGCAGCUGCGGCAGCACCAUGAUGAGCGCCCUGCCCUCUCCCCUGCCGAGGCAUUCAAGAGGCGAUUCAGGAACUGCUGCUACCGAUGUCUUGGCUCCAGACACAAGUUCUACGAGUGCCGCGACCCUCAAAUUGCUACACUUGCAAGCGAACGGGCCAUCUGGAGCGUGAGUGCCCUGCCCGUCGGCUCAAGCACUCUGCUCUGGCUGCCCCUCCGCCAACUGCCACCGCCGCCGCCUCUCCAGCUUCUUGCCGGCCGGCGGCGCCCCCUCCCCCUAGCGGCCAAGCGCCGUCCUACAGCGCUGCCAUCGUUGGAAGCUCGCAGGACCGCGGCGCCGUCCUCCCGAUGGCCGCGGUGGACAUGCCAGGCGCUGCGCACCGCGGGCUUGCCACAUCGACCUGCGCCGUGGUCAGCACCCCGGCGAUGGAGGAGGAAUCCUACCGCCUGCGCACCACGGCGCUGCUGCUCACUGCCUCCGGCCCUUGCUCCGGCAUCUCCGCGAACAUGGUGGCCGAGGCCGUGGAGCACGACCACGGCUUCCCGUGGCGCGACAUCGACCUUGCCCCCUGCUUUCCGGAGGACUUCCCGCUGGUCCUGUCGGAGCGUCGCCAGCGCGACCUCGUUUUCGAGCGGCGCCAGGUGGUGGUUGCCGGCGUCAAGUUUCUGCUGCGGCCCUGGUUCCCACUGCCGGGUGGCAAUAGGGUGUGGCGGUUCUACUGUAGAGUCGCCAUUGACCGCCUCCCCCUCAACGCGUGGGACUGGGACAAUGUUCAGGAAGUCAUUUGCAAGCAGUGCAAGCUGGACCUCAUCGAGCGACAGUCGACAACCAAGACCAACCGCACGGCCCUCUUUGCUUGGCUAUGGACCUGGGACCCUGACCUAA